UACAGAGGUCUCAAGCGUUGUUCGGAUUCAUUGGGCGUAAAGGGUGCGUAGGUGGCGAGGCAAGUCUGGUGUGAAAUCCCGGGGCUCAACCCCGGAACUGCACUGGAUACUACUUUGCUAGAGUACUGGAGAGGAGAUUGGAAUUUACGGUGUAGCAGUGAAAUGCGUAGAUAUCGUAAGGAAGACCAGUGGCGAAGGCGAAUCUCUGGACAGUUACUGACACUGAGGCACGAAGGCCAGGGGAGCAAACGGG
rnacentral:rRNA from 1 species